CAAGACUACUGAAGUCAAAGGGAGAAAACUUUUCUGGAGGAAGGCCAGGUCAACAGUGUGAAUGCUGCUGAAACCACAUGAAGAAACGUGCCCUUGAACUUGCGUGCAGCCCCUAAGUGAACAUUUCCUGGCAGAUUAUUUUUUCCAUGGACAUUGAGCAUCUCAAGUGGAAAAAAUGCACCUUGAUGUCUGUGCAGUUGAGGCCUUUCUCCACCUGGGGACAGGAAAUACUUCACAAAGUCCAUUUGAAAGAAUGCAUGGCUCCAAACACAGUCUCUUGGAAGUGUGUGCUGCAAGUUUGGGCAAGGCCCUGAGCCUCAGAGACUCGAACGUGUGAGAUCGGAGCUGCUGCGGUGGGCCCCCUACCCCUUGCCCACAGGCUGUGGUGGAAAGGGCGUGGCACUUGGAUGGAAGUAUGGUGGGGCACUCACUGGGUAAUUACAAGCAUUGUUCAACUCAUUAUAUUCGAUCUGAUACAAGAAAUGUUUGCUGGGUACCUGACUCUCAGCAUGGGGAUAAGAGUUCUCAUAAUAAAUACAGCUACACUCAUGACAAUAACAACUAUCAUUUAUUGAGGACUCACUGUGUGUUGGGCACUGUCAUUUUACAUAGGCAUUUACAUCUACAUAUCUCAUUUAAU